rnacentral:rRNA from 1 species
GAGAGACGGCCCAGACUCCUACGGGAGGCAGCAGUGGGGAAUCUUGCGCAAUGGCCGAAAGGCUGACGCAGCGGCGCCGCGUGUGGGAGGACGCCUUUCGGGGUGUAAACCACUGUUGCCCGGGACGAAUAUCCUGUUUAGACAGGAUUGACGGUACCGGGUGAGGAAGCACCGGCUAACUCCGUGCCAGCAGCCGCGGUAAUACGGAGGGUGCGAGCGUUGUCCGGAAUCAUUGGGCGUAAAGGGCGCGUAGGUGGCGGGACAAGCGUGCGGUGAAAGCUCGGGGCUCAACCCCGAGUCGGCCGUGCGAACUGUUUUGCUGGAGCACUGUAGAGGCAGGCGGAAUUCCGGGUGUAGCGGUGGAAUGCGUAGAGAUCCGGAAGAACACCGGUGGCGAAGGCGGCCUGCUGGGCAGUUGCUGACACUGAGGCGCGACAGCGUGGGGAGCAAACAGGAUUAGAUACCCUGGUAGUCCACGCCGUAAACGAUGGGCACUAGGCGCUUGGGGGAGCGACCCCCCGAGGGCCGUAGCUAACGCAUUAAGUGCCCCGCCUGGGGAGUACGG